rnacentral:misc_RNA from 1 species
UUGCCUGUGCGUGAGGGCAAAGGUGAUGCCUGCGCUCGGACACGAAAUCUUUCGGUGAACGUGCAGUACGGCUUGGGCGUCGCCGCCUGUUUUCAGACGCACCGUCCGAAAACACGCGGUCAUUCGGCGUGGCGAUGACGAAUAAACACGCGUAUUCCCGAGUGUUUACGACGAACGCGCGCCGGCAUCGCCAUUGCCAUCUCCCGACGCGUGACGUGCGGACUUGCACGAAGGUUCGCUUCUCGAGCGCGAUGUUCAUGGAGGCGGUAUGCGACCACUGACGCGAUUUGCGCGAUAUCUGGUA